GAGGAAUAUUGGUCAAUGGGCGAGAGCCUGAACCAGCCAAGUCGCGUGAAGGAAGACUGCCUUAUGGGUUGUAAACUUCUUUUAUACGGGAAUAAAGUGCCCCACGCGUGGGGUUUUGCAAGUACCGUACGAAUAAGGAUCGGCUAACUCCGUGCCAGCAGCCGCGGUAAUACGGAGGAUCCGAGCGUUAUCCGGAUUUAUUGGGUUUAAAGGGUGCUCGGGCGGGGGAUUAAGUCGGCGGUGAAAUUUUGCAGCUCAACUGUAAAAGUGCCUUCGAAACUGGUUGCCUUGAGUGCGGAUGGGGUAGGCGGAAUUUGUGGUGGAGCGGAGAAAUGCAUAGAUAUCACGAGGAACUACGAUUGCGCAGGCAGCUUACCAAGCCGUAACUGACGCUCAAGCACGAAGGCGUGGGGAUCAAACA
rnacentral:rRNA from 1 species